ensembl:snoRNA SNORA70 Small nucleolar RNA SNORA70
AUUUAAAAAAAAAAGAAGAAGAAAAGAAGUGGGGCUCCCAAUGUACAAUGGUUGUACACAGCAGGCCCUUGGUAGUAUACAAAGUCUGUUACUUGUAUGGGUUGCCCAAAGGCACUGUGGAGACAGAU